rnacentral:rRNA from 1 species
GUCGAGCGGAACGAUAGCCAAGCUUGCUGCCCUAGGCGUCGAGCGGCGGACGGGUGAGUAACACUUAGGAAUCUACCUAGUAGUGGGGGAUAGCUCGGGGAAACUCGAAUUAAUACCGCAUACGACCUACGGGAGAAAGGGGGCAACUUGUUGCUCUCGCUAUUAGAUGAGCCUAAGUCGGAUUAGCUAGUUGGUGGGGUAAAGGCCUACCAAGGCGACGAUCUGUAGCUGGUCUGAGAGGAUGAUCAGCCACACCGGGACUGAGACACGGCCCGGACUCCUACGGGAGGCAGCAGUGGGGAAUAUUGGACAAUGGGGGCAACCCUGAUCCAGCCAUGCCGCGUGUGUGAAGAAGGCCUUUUGGUUGUAAAGCACUUUAAGCAGUGAAGAAGACCAUAUGGUUAAUACCCAUAUGCGAUGACAUUAGCUGCAGAAUAAGCACCGGCUAACUCUGUGCCAGCAGCCGCGGUAAUACAGAGGGUGCAAGCGUUAAUCGGAAUUACUGGGCGUAAAGCGAGCGUAGGUGGCUUGAUAAGUCAGAUGUGAAAUCCCCGGGCUUAACCUGGGAACUGCAUCUGAUACUGUUAGGCUAGAAUAGGUGAGAGGAA